CCUACGGGUGGCAGCAGUGAGGAAUAUUGGUCAAUGGACGAGAGUCUGAACCAGCCAAGUAGCGUGAAGGAUGACUGCCCUAUGGGUUGUAAACUUCUUUUAUAAAGGAAUAAAACGAGGCACGUGUGCCUUUUUGCAUGUACUUUAUGAAUAAGGAUCGGCUAACUCCGUGCCAGCAGCCGCGGUAAUACGGAGGAUCCGAGCGUUAUCCGGAUUUAUUGGGUUUAAAGGGUGCGUAGGUGGGUUGUUAAGUCAGUUGUGAAAGUUUGCGGCUCAACCGGAGAAUUGCAAUGGAUACUGGCGGUCUUGAGUACAGUUGAGGUAGGCGGAAUUCGUGGUGUAGCGGUGAAAUGCUUAGAGAUCACGAAGAACCCCGAUUGCGAAGGCAGCUUACUAAACUGUGACUGACAUUGAUGCACGAAAGUGUGGGGAUCAAACAGGAUUAGAUACCCUAGUAGUC
rnacentral:rRNA from 1 species